CUACGGGCUGCUCCAGCAAGGAAUAUUGCGCAAUGGGCGAAAGCCUGACGCAGCGACGCCGCGUGGGGGAUGAAGGCCCUCGGGUUGUAAACCCCUUUUCUCAGGGAAGAAUAAUGACGGUACCUGAGGAAUAAGUCUCGGCUAACUACGUGCCAGCAGCCGCGAUAAUACGUAGGAGGCGAGCGUUAUCCGGAUUUACUGGGCGUAAAGCGGGUGUAGGCGGCUCUUCAAGUCGGAUGUAAAAUCUCCUGGCUUAACUGGGAGGGACCAUUCGAUACUGCUGGGCUCGAGUGCAGCAGAGGAAGGUGGAAUUCCCGGUGUAGUGGUGGAAUGCGUAGAUAUCGGGAGGAACACCAGUGGCGAAAGCGGCCUUCUGGGCUGUAACUGACGCUGAGACCCAUAAGCGUGGGGAGCAAACAGGAUUAGAUACCCUUGUAGUC
rnacentral:rRNA from 1 species